rnacentral:tRNA from 1 species
UACCCGUAUUGCGUAGUGGUAACGCACCAGUUUGCAAAACUGUCCACCCGGGUUCGAUUCCCGGUACGGUCU